UGAGGCAGGAGAAUUGCUUGAACCCAGGAGGUGGAGGUUGCAGUGAGCCAAGAUCAAGCCACUGCACUCCAGCCUGGUGACAGAGCGAGACUCCGUCUCA
rnacentral:miRNA from 1 species